UAGAAAAAAAGUUAUUUGCGUUUGUAAGAAAAAUCCCUUCGCUACGUUUAAUUUAUAAGUUGGCAAGACUAUUGCAAUUAUUCUGACAGAAUUGCCAAUAAACGAAUAAAAAUAAUCGUAACAAAUAAUAAAAAGAUAAUAUAAAAAUAAAAUGAGAUAAUAUAGAAAAAAAAAUAUUUGCUUCUUUAUUAUGUGCUUUUGGAGUGUCGCAGAAUAUUAAUUAAUUUAUCUUGUCAAAAUGAACUAUAAAAGCAAAAGAAAAGUAAUUGGAUUGAAGGCACUUUUUUAUCGGCAUACAAUUAAAUACAUACGUAAAAAAAAUUACACGCUUCUUUGAUUAUAUCUUGAUGUGCAAAUUAUGACAACAUUCUAUUGUUAUUUAUCGUCACAUGAUUAUCAUUUGGAAUCUAGACGUAUACAUUAUAUAUCAAUACUUAUCAGACAAUAAAUAAUCUAUAUACAUAAUAUAAUGUACGUAAGUAGUACAUUAGUUUGCUUACGAACAACUGUGAAAGUUCACGUCUAAGAAAGAAAAGUUCGCAAUCCAAUGUAGAGAGAGAUCGCAUCGAUGAUCGUGUUACUGACGUCAAUGAAGAUACAGAACGUUCGAUGGACUGUGUCCUAGUUGCUUGUUGCUGCUUUAGCAACAUAUGUCGAAGCGAUUGAGCUUCCUCUCGAAGGGUCACCACCUGCGCUCGUAAAAUAGCAUUUUCGUGUUCUAACAUUGUUGCCUUUAAAGCGAUCUACGAAAAAUAAUUGAAUGAUGGAGGGGUGGGGAAUAUGUUGUGUAAAGUAUUAAUCGAUUAAGGAGUUUUACAUACACAUUUGGAUCGUUCAAAAAUAAAGACAUUAAUAUUUUUGA